CCUCAGCUGUUGCAGCUUCUUGAUCUUGGACUUCUCAGCCUCUAUACUGAGAAAAAGAAGUGUUCUAUAAGAAGUUUGGACAAGACUCUGCAAGAAGUUAAGAGGUCCUUAAAGGCAACUGUGAAUUAACGGAGACUAGUUUUGAGAAAAUCAGUCCUGAUUUGUUUCUCCUGGAGUUUUCUUCUUUAUGUGAUCCUUCAUAAAAGCUGCUAAUAUGGGAAAGAUUGAAAUCAGCAAGUUUCUGGCUGUAAGCUAAAAGAGGCUCUUGAAUCAUAUUUCCGCCUGCUUAGCAAAUUUCUCUUGCGACAAUUGGAUGUUAUUUGGGGUUCCAUACUAGCAGGAAGAAGUACAAGCAAAGCUAAGUCAUUUUGAGAAUAAAUAUUAUCUCUCUAUAUAUUUGUAAAUGUUAUUUUCUUUUUUUUUGAGGUUUAUGAUUGAUCCUUGGCAUGUGUCCCCUUGUGUAUUGCUCUACUAAAAAUAGCCUAAAAAAGAAUUUUCCCCUCGAUGUGGAGCUUCUCUUUAGUUACAAUUCUACUUUCUCCUUCACUUGAGUAUCAGUCUUCAGAGAACUACCAUAACAAAGGAGUGGAUACAGAUAUACGCAAAAAAGUCUAUGAGAAAAUUAGUACAUUAAAUUUGUGAAAGCUCAUUUAAAGUAAUUUUCUACUAACAAUUUUAAUCAAAUGUAUUAAUCAUAUUUCUAUGCUUAGUGAUGUUAAAUAAAAAUUUAAAAGGUGGCAAUCAAUAAACAGAGAUAAAAGCUUCUCAAGAAUAAAUGAAAGGAAGUAAUAAAAAGACUCACUAAGCUGAAUUGCCUCCUAUCAACAGCAGCUGAUAAAAUAUUAAAAGAUUUGCCUUGUGUAAUGUCUCUGGAGAGCUGUCUUACUGAUGUACGAGGCCAUGAUUGACAACUUUGAGACUUUGCUGGAAGCGACAAAAGUAUAUCUAUAAUAUUAUGCUGAAUUGCAUAGGUCUUUCUUCUUAAAUGAGGCUAGAAAUAACAUACCACCAAGUGUUUGGCUUUUAGGAAAUUGAGCAUUUUCUUUAGUUCUAGCUGCAGUUUAAUUUCCUCAGAAUUAGACAUUAUGCGGUAUCUGGAACGUUAAAAAAAAAAAAAAGCAAAAA
ensembl:lncRNA LINC01473 long intergenic non-protein coding RNA 1473